UACGAAGGGUGCAAGCGUUAAUCGGAAUUACUGGGCGUAAAGGGUGCGUAGGUGGUUUGUUAAGUCUGAUGUGAAAGCCCUGGGCUCAACCUGGGAAUUGCAUUGGAUACUGGCAGGCUAGAGUGCGGUAGAGGAUGGCGGAAUUCCCGGUGUAGCAGUGAAAUGCGUAGAGAUCGGGAGGAACAUCUGUGGCGAAGGCGGCGAUCUGGACCAGCACUGACACUGAGGCACGAAAGCGUGGGGAGCAAACAGG
rnacentral:rRNA from 1 species